rnacentral:tRNA from 1 species
AGGACAUGGGCCGGCGGGUGCAGGCGGGCCGGCUCCAGCCCGGCCAGCGCGGCCACGGUUUCGGUAUCGCCCGGUUCUUCGGCCGUGGUUUCCUU